CAGUAUUUAUAAUAUAUGACUUCUCUCUGUCCAAAAAGGAAAUUUUUGGAUAUGUUUUCUACAGUGUGCUGAGAUUUUCUUUUCUGUUUCAGAAAUUAUUUCAUUAGCUUACUCACAAGUGAGGGUAUAUGACAUUUUGCCAACAUAAAGUCUAAUACACGUAAGAUUUCUUUCAAAAUAGAAAAGCAUUCAGAAAAGGCAGGACAAAUACCUUGUUUUUUUUUUUUCACCCAAAAUAAUAUUCUAAAUCUGAAAUGAAGUUUUCAAAAUGUUUCUUUGUGGGGGUCACAAAUUGAGAAGAGACUGAGUGUAUUUUUUCAUAAACUGUAUGGAUUGCAAGUUGCAAGGCUAUGAAAAAUCUUAUGAAGGAAGUAGAGAGGCAGAGGCUCUAUUAGAAAAAUCCCGUGCUUAUCAAUAAUGAUCAGGAAACUGUAAGAACUCAAGCUGUCGAACAUCUGUCUCAGGACAUAGUCAUACCCCAUCUUUCUAUUACCCAAACUGCCUUAUGCCAAUACAGGCAUUGCAAGUGAAUUUGGUGGUGAAAAUACAGCUGGGAUUAUGUUCCCCUGCCUCCUCCACCCACAGUUUGCUGAAUUCUAUUCCUGCCAUACAGCUUCCAAAGGAGAAGGAAAGAUGUGAGGCAAUGUCAUGGCAUCAAGACAGAUCAUACCUGUUUCCCAUUACCUCACUAGAUCCUGGCCCUUUUCCCAAGAAGUGAAUUAUGAGAGCUGACAGAAUUCAUUAUUCAUAAAUCCAUGCAAAGGGCUAUGCCAUCCAUUUUAGCCUUUUUUUCCUCUUUUUUUUUCUCUUUAUUUGAGACAGAGUUUCUCUCUUAUUGCCCAGGCUGGAGUGCAGUGGCAUGAUCUCUGCUCACUGCAACCUCCACCUCCUGGGUUCAAGUGAUUCUCCUGCCUCAGCCUCCUGAGUAACUGGGAUUACAGGUGCCUGCUACCAUCCCCGGCUAAUUUUUUAUAUUUUUGGUAGAGACCGGGUUUCAUCAUGUUGGCCAGACUGGUCUCGAACUCCUGACCUCAGGUGAUCCACCUGCCUCGGAUUCCCAAAGUGCUGGGAUUACAGGCAUGCACCACCGCGCCCAGCCCUUUUCUUCCAUCUUAUUCUUUUCUUUUUCAGGAAACACUAUUAAGCUUAAAUAUUUAUAAUUAUUUUCCUUCUAUUAAAAUUAGGCUUUACUUGGCUCUGGCUCUCUUUUUCUUUUCUUCUUUCUUGUCUUUAGACACCCAAGCCUCAAUUAGUAACUACGCUAACUGGUAACAGUAACUACUGUCCCUGAGAUUAUUUCAGCUAAUAUUUUUAGUUAUCAAGUAUAAGUCAUCAAAGAGAGUUAACUAAAUAAUCUCACAACUCCUAGCCUCAAACAUAAUUUUUAACUCAUUUUUAAAAGAGGCCUUUUAUCAAGUUACAUUCACAGCUCUGCAAAUUACACACACACACACACACAAACACACACGUACUAACACUCUCAUUCUACUCCUUUCUUUGUAUUUCUUAGUAGAGUGGCAUGAAAUAAAACGGCCUUCAUUUUGCACAUUCUUCUUUUCCAUUUUAUGUAUGUAUAAACAUGGCCUGAAAGAUUCAUUUUAAAACAAUAUUGUGGUUAGUAAUAUAAACAUGUAACACACUACAUGUUCAAAAAAAUAUUUUAGAUUCUAUUAUGUAUAAUAAUAAAAAACCCUCAAAGAAAGAUGAAGGAAUGAGAAUGUGAGGAAUAUUCAUAAAGGAUAAUAUGCCUGAGGAAUUGUGUUCCUUUAGCACUUGUAAGAAUAAACAUACUGUAUAAAAACUUUUGUUCCUUUUUAACAUUUUUGAAAGAAAGUCAAACCUACUUUACAGUAAAAUACUUGGUAAGUGAGUUAGAAAAAUGAUCUUUUUCUCAGUGAGAAGUGCUAUUCUGUGGCAUUUUGAAAAAUAAUCUUACUUCUGCUCCACUGAAGAAAUCUGGUUAUUAAAAGAGUUAUUCCUUUUAUAAAAUCAAAAUCUGCAUGUGGCAAUUUUUAUUCAUUGAUAUGGCUCUCUUCUCAAAACACAAAGAACAAAUCUAACUUUUCACUCAAAAAUUAAUCUUAAAGACACAAUUUAUGCUCUUCCUGUAAGCAGCCUGAGAUGAUCUCUUAAAAUGGUUUACUAUUCACUUGACCCAGAACAACCCAAAAAAUCAUUCAAAUCAAGAGAUUGAAAUCUUCGUGUUCACUUUAAGAACAUCCAUGAAGCUACCCAGGCAAUCAAGGGUUAUGUAUAUCUGAAAAGCCACCAAGUAUCUGAAAGAUGUGACUUUACAGAAGCAGUGUGUGCCGUUCCAUCAUUGCAAUGGUGGAGCUGGUAGAUGUGUCCAAAGCCAAACCGUGGAGCUGGACAGAGGGUUUAUGGCCCCAAAAGAGUGCUGAAAGUUUGUUGCACAUGCAUACAAAUGUAAAAAGCAGUGCUGAUCUUAAAGGUUUGUAUGUAGAGUCUCUUGAUCAUUGUGUACAUCUAGGUGGGCGAAGCACCCAAGAUACACUGGCUCUGUUUACAGGGCUCAUGGUCAGAUUAACCCAUACGUGACCUCCACCCCCACUAUCGCACCCACCGCACUGAAAUGAUGCUUACUGAAAUAGAACAAAUUUUUCUAAGCCAGAGGAGGAGGUUGCAUAGAAGAAAAAGGUAUUCCAGAAGAAACCGAAGAAACAAAAAUAAUGACCCAGGAAUAAUUUCAAUAUAAAAUAUAUGCAAAUAAAAUCAAAAGUAGAAAAAAGACAAUCAAAAUUUUAAAGAGCAUGGAAGCUCAAUUAAAAUAGAGGAAAGAACCGGGCACAGUGGCUCACGCCUGUAAUCCCAGCACUUUGGGAGGCCGAGGCGAGUGCAUCAGGAGGUCAGGAGAUUGAGACCAUCCUGGCUAACACGGUGAAACCCCGUCUUACUAAAAAUACAAAAAAUUAGCCAGGCGUGGUGGCGGGCGCCUGUAGUCCCAGCUACUCGGGAGGCUGAGGCAGGAGAAUGGCGUGAACCCGGGAGGUGGAGCUUGCAGUGAGCUGAGAUCGCGCCACUGCACUCCAACCUGGACAACAGAGCAAGACUCCGUCUCAAAAAAAAAAAAAAAAAAAAAAAAAAAAAAAAAAGAAGAAAUAUCAGAUACGUGAAAAAUGAUUCAAGCUCUCUGUUGAAUAAAGUCACAUUAAAAUCACAGAAAGGUACUGUUGUUAGACAAUGUUUAACACCUAUUAAAACAUACACAAAUUUAAAUAAUAGUGAUGAUACACAAAGCCUGGGACAGUUUCAUGAAAUUGUCUUUCAUAUGGCGGUUCAUAGAACAAAGUAGUACAAAUUUUCUGGAAACAAUUUUCUAGACACUAUAAGAACCAUUAAAAACGUGAUCCAGUGAUCUAUUCCUUGAAAUGUACUGUCAAAAAAUCCAGAAGAGGGACAAAUUUAAAUGCUCCAAGGUGUCUUUGAAAUCUGAAGCAUAAUACCAAAAAUAUUAAAACCACCUGAAUUCUAGUGUUUUAUCGGGAAAUGGCCAUGUAAUAUAAAUGCAACGUCUUUAUGCUUUAACCAAGAGAAAUCAUCUUCAAUUAUUUAAAAUUACAAUUUUAAAAGCUAGUAGCAGCACAGAAAAGGUUUACAUUUUCUAUGAUUCCAAUUAUAUGAAAAGUGUUAAUUUCUGUAGUGCAGACACAUAUAUCCAAAUGAAAUACAAUUGAUUUAUUACAAAUUGGGGUGGGGAUGUGCAAUUUUUUAUGUGUGUCAUCAUUGUUAUAUCAUUUGUGAUUUUAAAUAAUGAAAAACUCAGAUUGGGGGAAAACAACUUCUCAGGAGAAAGCAGUUGUGGUAGAUAGAGAGCAUAUUAAAAGCUUCCACCAAAACAAAUUCUUACAUGCAUUGAAGAAAAAAUAUUAUUUUCAAAAUAUAACCAUAUAAAAAUGAUUAUCUUGGCCAUUUAAAAAGAGUCUUAAUUUAUUACAUGAAGCCUUUAAGGGUCCAGGUGGUAUAUCUGGAAUCUUUCUUUUGUUAGGUUACACUGUAAACUCUGCUACUGCUUCUUCUGGAGAUGUGCUCUAUAUUGCUGGACAGCCUCGGUACAAUCAUACAGGCCAGGUCAUUAUCUACAGGAUGGAAGAUGGAAACAUCAAAAUUCUCCAGACGCUCAGUGGAGAACAGAUUGGUUCCUACUUUGGCAGUAUUUUAACAACAAUUGACAUUGACAAGGAUUCUAAUACUGACAUUCUUCUAGUCGGAGCCCCUAUGUACAUGGGAACAGAGAAGGAGGAGCAAGGAAAAGUGUAUGUGUAUGCUCUCAAUCAGACAAGGUUUGAAUAUCAAAUGAGCCUGGAACCUAUUAAGCAGACGUGCUGUUCAUCUCGGCAGCACAAUUCAUGCACAAAAGAAAACAAAAAUGAGCCAUGCGGGGCUCGUUUUGGAACUGCAAUUGCUGCUGUAAAAGACCUCAAUCUUGAUGGAUUUAAUGACAUCGUGAUAGGAGCUCCGCUGGAAGAUGAUCACGGGGGAGCUGUGUACAUUUAUCAUGGAAGUGGCAAGACUAUAAGGAAAGAGUAUGCACAACGUAUUCCAUCAGGUGGGGAUGGUGAGACACUGAAAUUUUUUGGCCAGUCUAUCCACGGAGAAAUGGAUUUAAAUGGUGACGGUCUGACAGAUGUGACUAUUGGGGGCCUUGGUGGUGCUGCCCUCUUCUGGUCCCGAGAUGUGGCCGUAGUUAAAGUGACCAUGAAUUUUGAGCCAAAUAAAGUGAAUAUUCAAAAGAAAAACUGCCAUAUGGAGGGAAAGGAAACAGUAUGCAUAAAUGCUACAGUGUGUUUUGAUGUGAAAUUAAAGUCUAAAGAAGACACGAUUUAUGAAGCUGAUUUGCAGUACCGUGUCACCCUAGAUUCACUAAGACAAAUAUCACGAAGUUUUUUCUCUGGAACUCAAGAGAGAAAGGUUCAAAGGAACAUCACAGUUCGAAAAUCAGAAUGCACUAAGCACUCCUUCUACAUGUUGGACAAGCAUGACUUUCAGGACUCUGUGAGAAUAACGUUGGACUUUAAUCUUACCGAUCCAGAAAAUGGGCCUGUUCUUGAUGAUUCUCUACCAAACUCAGUACAUGAAUAUAUUCCCUUUGCCAAAGAUUGUGGAAAUAAGGAAAAAUGUAUCUCAGACCUCAGCCUGCAUGUCGCCACCACUGAAAAGGACCUGCUGAUUGUCCGGUCCCAGAAUGAUAAGUUCAACGUUAGCCUCACAGUCAAAAAUACAAAGGACAGUGCCUAUAACACCAGGACAAUAGUGCAUUAUUCUCCAAAUCUAGUUUUUUCAGGAAUUGAGGCUAUCCAAAAAGACAGUUGUGAAUCUAAUCAUAAUAUCACAUGUAAAGUUGGAUAUCCCUUCCUGAGAAGAGGAGAGAUGGUAACUUUCAAAAUAUUGUUUCAGUUUAACACAUCCUAUCUCAUGGAAAAUGUGACCAUUUAUUUAAGUGCAACAAGUGACAGCGAAGAACCUCCUGAAACCCUUUCUGAUAAUGUAGUAAACAUUUCUAUCCCGGUAAAAUAUGAAGUUGGACUACAGUUUUACAGCUCUGCAAGUGAAUACCACAUUUCAAUUGCUGCCAAUGAGACAGUCCCUGAAGUUAUUAAUUCUACUGAGGACAUUGGAAAUGAAAUUAAUAUCUUCUACUUGAUUAGAAAAAGUGGAUCUUUUCCAAUGCCAGAGCUUAAGCUGUCAAUUUCAUUCCCCAAUAUGACAUCAAAUGGUUACCCUGUGCUGUACCCAACUGGAUUGUCAUCUUCUGAGAAUGCAAACUGCAGACCCCAUAUCUUUGAGGAUCCUUUCAGUAUCAACUCUGGAAAGAAAAUGACUACAUCAACUGACCAUCUCAAACGAGGCACAAUUCUGGACUGCAAUACAUGUAAAUUUGCUACCAUCAUAUGUAAUCUCACUUCUUCUGACAUCAGCCAAGUCAAUGUUUCGCUUAUCUUGUGGAAACCAACUUUUAUAAAAUCAUAUUUUUCCAGCUUAAAUCUUACUAUAAGGGGAGAACUUCGGAGUGAAAAUGCAUCUCUGGUUUUAAGUAGCAGCAAUCAAAAAAGAGAGCUUGCUAUUCAAAUAUCCAAAGAUGGGCUACCGGGCAGAGUGCCAUUAUGGGUCAUCCUGCUGAGUGCUUUUGCCGGAUUGUUGCUGUUAAUGCUGCUCAUUUUAGCACUGUGGAAGAUUGGAUUCUUCAAAAGACCACUGAAAAAGAAAAUGGAGAAAUGAAAUAUUUUACGAAAGAAAAUAAUAACAAUUAUUCAAUAAUCUAUCCUCAGGUUUGCCUCAA
rnacentral:sRNA from 1 species